GCGAGUGAGCGGCAACAGCUCAAAUUUGAAAGCUGGCCUUCGGGUCCGCAUUGUAAUUUGUAGAGGAUGCUUUGGGGCAGCCGCCUGUCUAAGUUCCUUGGAACAGGACGUCAUAGAGGGUGAGAAUCCCGUAUGUGACAGGACAUGGCACCCUAUGUAAAGCUCCUUCGACGAGUCGAGUUGUUUGGGAAUGCAGCUCUAAAUGGGAGGUAAAUUUCUUCUAAAGCUAAAUACCGGCGAGAGACCGAUAGCGCACAAGUAGAGUGAUCGAAAGAUGAAAAGCACUUUGGAAAGAGAGUUAAAAAGCACGUGAAAUUGUUGAAAGGGAAGCGCUUGCAAUCAGACUUGUUUUGACUGUUCGGCCGGUCUUCUGACCGGUUUACUCAGUCUGGACAGGCCAGCAUCAGUUUUGGCGGCCGGAUAAAGGCCUAGGGAAUGUGGCUCCCGCUUCGGUGGGAGUGUUAUAGCCCUGGGUGUAAUACGGCCAGCCGGGACUGAGGUCCGCGCUUCGGCUAGGAUGCUGGCGUAAUGGUUGUAAGCGACCC
rnacentral:rRNA from 1 species